CUCCUUAAGGAGUCCACAGCAUCCUCCACUGCCUAUUGCCCGCCUGGUGCCACAGACAGCGAGGAUUGGGAAGGACAUCUUUCACCUGGAAGCUGGAGAGAUGAGGCAGCAGCCGGCGGAGCGCUCAUACCAUCAAGGCCUACCGGCUGCAAUGCUGCGAGGUAUGCCAAGGAAGUGCGAGAUAAAUUGGCGCACUACUUCGUCGCAGACGGUCAGGUGCCUUGGCAGGACAAAGUGGUGAACAGGACUUGAGGCAUACAAGGUAAAGGUGUCGACACCAGUCUCCUCAGCCGUAUCAGGGGUACGUUCCGGUUCCGCUGCAUGGCUUGGCCGAGGCUGUGAUCUGCAGUGAUAAAAACUUCUCUCUAUGUAUUUGAUGAUGCCACUAGUACAUGAACAGUUUUAGGCAUUCUUUGGGAGUUAAAAUGCCAUUAUGAUUUCACUCAACACGAGGUUUAUUUAUCAUAAGAAGUCACUUGCGUUACCUCUUGAUUGAGCACUGCUGUAUGGAAGGUGUGCAUACAGGUGUGCCUUUAUGUUAAUAAAAUGCUAUGUAGGCUGCGCAUCUAAAUGAGAGCAAGAGAUAUUGUCACGGAGAUGAA